rnacentral:rRNA from 1 species
AUUGAACGCUGGCGGCAGGCUUAACACAUGCAAGUCGAGCUAGCGGCGGACGGGUGAGUAAUGUCUGGGAAACUGCCUGAUGGAGGGGGAUAACUACUGGAAAAGGUAGCUAAUACCGCAUACCAUCAGAUGUGCCAGAUGGGAUUAGCUAGUAGGUGGGGUAACGGCUCACCUGGGCGAUGCUCCAUAGCUGGUCUGAGAGGAUGACCAGCCACACUGGGACGGAGACACGGUCCAGACUCCUACGGGAGGCGGCAGUGGGGAAUAUUGCACAAGGGGCGCAGACCGUAGGCAGCCAUGCCGCGUGUGUGAAGAAGGCCUUCGGGUUGUAAAACACUUUCAUCGGGGAUGCGUUACCCGCAGAAGAAGCACCGGCUAACUCCGUGCCAGCAGCCGCGGUAAUUC